CGAACGGGUGAGUAACGCGUGUGCAACCUGCCUAUGACAGUGGGAUAGCCUCGGGAAACCGGGAUUAAUACCGCAUAAAAUCGUAAAAACACAUGUUUUAACGGUCAAAGAUUUAUCGGUCAUAGAUGGGCUCGCGUCUGAUUAGCUAGUUGGUGAGAUAACAGCCCACCAAGGCGACGAUCAGUAGCCGGUCUGAGAGGAUGAACGGCCACAUUGGAACUGAGACACGGUCCAA
rnacentral:rRNA from 1 species